AGUUAUAUAGUCAAUAUAUGAUAUUGAAUUGCAAAUUCAAUGGAGAGUAAAAUUCUAUAACUU
rnacentral:tRNA from 1 species